UCUGGUUGCAAUAAGAGGCCCAGCUCCAUUAGAAAUAACGGGCGGGAGUGACUCGUUCCCACGGCACUGUGUAAAUUCAACCAGCGCCGUUGAAAAGGCGAAAUGCGAGUCGGCUGUUCACUUUUCUGGUGUGUUUGGGCUUCUCUGUCUUCAUUUCCUCCAGCGACUCGUAAGUGUUGCCUUGGACAGCGGCGGCCUCCCUGGGGAUCUGCU